GAAAAUACAGAACGAAACGAUUGUCAACGUUUUAUGUAGUUUAUUUUCGUACGCUGGAGAGGGGCAUAUGCAUUUAGAUAACCCUUAUUAAAAUGUUUUAUGUUUUCUUUGUCAUUGCAUGUUAUCAAUUAAUAGUGAAUGUCUUACAAUUUUUACUGGAAAACAAGGAAGGGCUUGAGGCAAUUUACCUACAAAAACCGAUAUCAACCAGACGGGCAAUAAUAGCGUAUAAAAUGUAUAACAACCAGGAACAACUGAUAAGAAAUACGUACGAUGUCAUUCAAAGAACUGGAGAUAGUUUACAACGAUCUAAUCAAAUUGCGUAUGAAACCGAACAAAUUGGGACAGAGGUUCUUUCGGAAUUAGGAGAACAACGUGAAUCGCUACUGCGUUCUUCCCGUCGUCUGGAAAACGCGGAUGACAAUAUCUCGCAAUCACGCAAAAUCAUACGAAAACUUCAACGAGAAGUUCUAUAUAAUAAAAUCAUUUUAAUAUUAGUUAUAAUUAUGGAAAUAGCGAUACUUAUAGGACUAGUUGUCAUUAAGUUUAUUUCGAAAUGAGAAAUAUUAAAUUUAGAACUGGUAAAUCUGGUGGAAGCUUCAAAUGUUUUAAGAUACGAAUAAGACCUAUCAAGACAAUGCAGAUGUUCAAUUAGAUAGGAAUUAUACAGACAAUGAUACAUUGAACACUGCUUGUCAGUGACAUUGCGAACUUCAAUACUUUACAUUUAUUUCGGAUAGCGUGGUAUUGAGAACAACUCUUGCAUGGUAAAAUUUUUGUUUCCGGGAAAAUACCCAAAUAUUCCACCCGAAAUUCCGACUCAACGCCUUGGAGCUAUACCGAUAUGGGCAAUAUAAUUUUUCCUGGACCCCGAUAUAUGGUUCUUUGAACAGCCUGAUUCUGCUAAGUAAAUCAAACCAAAGUUUUCUAAAUUUGAUACUGUUUUAUGUAGCGUUAAGAUUUUCUCCUUUUAGUUUGGCCGAUACCGGCUACGUGAAAUAAAGUUUUUGUAUAUUUGAUUCUGUUUGUAAGAUAGUCACUAAUUUUGUAGCAUUUUGGAAAGGUUAUAAUGUCAACUAUAAUUUGGCAUAAAUUUCGUGAACUCCCGUAGGAUUUUAUAAAAAAUGCAGGUCCAAAAAAAUCAAGAAUGAUAUUACUCCCAAACCUUUUGGUAUGAUCAACGUCGCUUUAUUGGUUCCGGGUAUUGGACCCGAAGUUUCAGUUCAAAUAUCCUCAUGUCCCGGCCCGUCCUACAUGAAAAAAUACUUUCCCGAAAUCAGGGUUCAAAUUCGUACCUCUGGAAAUAAUUUCAAAGCAAUCCGAGAGUUUCCAAUAAAAUUGAGUUAAGCUGCGUUUUGAAACAUUAUAGAUAUUUUUUUUUAUAGAAAUUAACGUUUUGGAGGUUAGCCAAACUCCUUUGAAAAAAUAUGGCUUAAAUCAUAAAAUACGGAGUAAAAGUAUGUACCGUUAUAUGGGAACAAAGGGAAAACGUGGAAUUAUGAAGACAAUGAUCCACCACCAUAAGAAAGUCCAUUAUGAAUCUAAAAAAUCCGUUAAAAUAUAGGGAGGUACCAUUCUAUAAGCGCUAUACGCAAGAAAUGGAUCUAUAUAGACAAUGUUGUGCCACCAAAAAAGAUACCAAUUCGGGCGAAAAUGUGGUUUAAAUAGUCAAAAUACAUGAUAUUCACCCCUACUCUGUAAGACGUCGUCGACAGCUAACGUCGACGCCUUGUGUCGCCGUGUUAAUUUUGGCACCCCUGAAGUUGUGUCGACAGCAGACGACGAGUACUUGGUACUCGCUAAGGCGUUUAUACAACCAUGUUGAGUCGACUCGACUUACUUUUGGGCGUUACGGUUUUUCUGCACGCCUUGUGACGCCUUGAUACAAACAACUGUGUUUUUAUUGAUUUGUAAGUUGGUGAAAAAAAAAUGGAGAAAAAAUUAAAAAUUACAAAUGGAACGCAAUUUGAUUGCUUAAUAAAAGAACUUGGGAAAAAUCCAAGCCUUGCGAAAGGGUUCAGUAGAGGCUCUCUUCCAUCCAAUUUUAAAAAAAAUUGGGAGGAUAUUACAACAAAACUGAAUGCUUUUGGUCCUCCGGCAAGAGACAGUGAUGGUUGGCAGAAGGUUUGGAGAGAUCUAAAAUUCAAAUGUAAAAAGAAAGUAGCCUUCAACAAGGCAGAAUGCAAUGCAACAGGUGGAGGCAGAUACAAGCAGCUGCAACUUUCCCCGUUGGAAGAGGCAGUUGCGAGUAUAAUGAAAUUUAUUGAUGCAAAAAUGGUUUUGAAACCUGUAGAUAAAUUAUAUAUUUUAUGAAUGGCAUGUAUCAUGACCCAAAAUAUAAAAAUUAUAAAACUUACUUGAUAUGUGGUAGGUUAAAUAUAUCUGACCUUUGCCUUAUAA